rnacentral:rRNA from 1 species
AUACGUAGGGGGCGAGCGUUGUCCGGAAUUAUUGGGCGUAAAGCGCGCGCAGGCGGUCCCUUAAGUCUGAUGUGAAAGCCCACGGCUCAACCGUGGAGGGUCAUUGGAAACUGGGGGACUUGAGUGCAGAAGAGGAGAGCGGAAUUCCACGUGUAGCGGUGAAAUGCGCAGAGAUGUGGAGGAACACCAGUGGCGAAGGCGGCUCUCUGGUCUGUAACUGACGCUGAGGCGCGAAAGCGUGGGGAGCAAGCAGGAUUAGAUACCCUGGUAGUCCACGCCGUAAACGAUGAGUGCUAAGUGUUAGAGGGGUUAAACCCUUUAGCGCUGUAGCUAACGCGUUAAGCACUCCGCCUGGGGAGUACGGCCGCAAGGCUGAA